UCAAUAACUAAUAAUUUUGUAGCUUCUGUUUCCAGUCGGCUGCCAAAACUCACCUCAUAAAACUCGAGCGUAUCCAAUACCGUUGUCUUCGCAUCGCUUUGGGCUGUAUGCCCUCUACGCACAACAUGAGUCUUGAAGUUUUGGCAGGAAUACUCCCUUUGAAAGAUCGAUUCAAUCUACUGUCACUCCGGUUCCUCAUUAGGUGUGAGGUCAUGAACCCAUUGGUGAUCGUUAAUUUUGAAAGGUUACUUGAGCAAAAUUUUCAUACAAGAUUUAUGUCUAUAUACCAUGUCCUCAUGUCAAUGCAGGUAAACCCUUCUUCGUAUUCUCCAGCUCGUGUUUGUAGCCCAGACUACGAUAAUUCUUCUGUCCAGUUUGAUUUGUCUAUGCAGCAGGAAAUUCGUGGAAUCCCGGAUCCGCAUCGUCCACUUCUGAUUCCAAGAAUUUUCGAAGCUAAAUAUAGACACGUCGAUGCUGAUAAAUUGUACUUUACUGAUGGAUCACUUAUAGAGGAAUCAACAGGAUUUGGAGUGGUCGGUGGCUGCACUCGAUUAUCCCAAGGUGACUUAUAAAGCGCGCCAUUUUGUUCGGAAAAACAAAACAAGUACAGAACGUGGUUAAUUUCAACUGGCCGGUUUGCAGUAGAAAUUGACGGUCAGAGCAUUCUCUGGCUGGAAGAAAUAGCUCCCGUUGAUCACCCGUUACCAUGAUAGUACUGGCAAUAGUUCAGGUAUUACACAAAAACAUAGAGUGCAUUUCAAAGAACAGCCGAGAAAAUCGAAUCGUGCCUCCGCAGCUUCUGGAAACGUCACGAAGAAAUGACCUAGUAGUACGUGAUUUAAUGAGUGUUUUUAAUGAGUGAGUGAACAAGUGAUAGUGAAAGUAAAAAAGUAAGUUUUUUUUAUUGUACAUUAAUAGCAUAAACGUUUGUUUUAUAAUGAUGUUUUAUUAAUAAAGUAAACAAAACACAAAAAA